GAAAAGACCAGAAAGAGACGACUCUCUCUAAGAAGUAAGAACUGUAAACUGUAAAGGUAAAGCAAACAGCCUCUUUUUCUCCGCAAAUCCUGAGAAACUUCUAAGCUCCAUGGUACCAUUACUCUCGGAAAUAUGUUGGAACAUUUAAACAAAAAGAGUGAAAAAUGUACACCUCGAAGAAGAGUUCCGUCCACACGAGAUUUUCCUAUUGCUUGUGGGAAUAACUUUCUGAUAAUCAGUAGGAUGGAGUGUUUGAGAUUGCUUUCUUCUUCAGAGAAUAUAAAUCCGAGUGAUGAAUGUUUUAGUCGAGAAAGUAUGCAAUCAGAACAUAUGCUCGAGGCUGGUUUUAGAGAGAGUAGUGACAACGUUCAAGAUGGUCACUGGAGCCAAUUCAAUAAGAGAAAGGCUCAUGAGGAAUUUGAGGAUCCAGGUCCUAUUGCUUGUGGGAAUAUCUUUCCAGUAACUAGUAAGAUGGAGUGUUUGAGGAUGCAGGUUGAUGAGGAAUUUGAGGAUGCAGGACCUGCGUCUAAUCAUUCUGAAGGAAACAAAUCUAUUGUGUUAGCACCUUAUUCUGGUGAGAGGGUGAUUGUGCAGGCUCUCAUGGCUACAAACAAUUGUCCAUGGAGGAAUACAGCAAAACGAUUUGUCAAACCGCCAGAGUUCAUGGCUACUCCAAAGAGUACUCAGCGGAGGCAGGCAAAACAGGUUGUCAAAUCUGAAGGUGAAAAAUCUAUAGUUUUGGCAUCAAGUGAGAGGAUCAUUGUACAGGUUUUGAUGGCUGCACCAUACUGUCCAUGGAGGAGUCAGUCAAAACGAUUUGUCAAAUCUCAAGGGCUCAUGGGUGCACCAAACGAUCCAUUGAGGGGGCAGGAAAAACAACUUGGCAAAUUUCAAGGAGAAGAAAAAUCUAUUGUUCUAGCACCUUCCUUUAGUGAAAGAGUUAUUGUACAGGGUCUCAUGGCUGCUCCAAAUUGUCCCUGGAGGCAGGCAAAGUGAGAUAACAAGUCAACAGCACAUGGUAUAACCAAAAGAGAUGAAAAAUCUAUUGUUCUAGCACCUUCCUUUAGUGAAAGAGUUAUUGUACAGGGUCUCAUGGCUGCUCCAAAUUGUCCCUGGAGGGAGGCAAAGCGAGAUAGCAAGUCAACAGCACAUGGUAUAACCAAAAGUAAAGUUAAUAAGCAGGCAAUUUCCUUAUACUUCAGAGAGUGAAGCUUCAGUGAACAAGCUGAAGGAGAACGAGAAAAUCACGUAUCACAAACAAGGGGGAAGCAGGACCUACAGUGAGGAGGGUAUCAUAUCAUUUUCUUAUUAUGCAUCCAUUGUAUGUCGCCAAUAGAAUGUACAUAUCGUGGGUCGAAUAAUCAUUGUUAAAAGAGACGGUGUGAAAAAGGAAAUCAUCCAUACAAAUCAUAGAAUUGCAGAAGAUUAAAACCACAUUAAUCAUUGAUCACUAUCUCUAAACCAACAAUCAGCAACAGGAGGGGAUAUCUGGUGAUUGGAUGAUGUCAGUUUCUGCAAGGAACAAGAGGAAGUCAUCUCCCAUCUUAUUUUUAGCUUUGUAAAUAUUUAAGGCAAGUAUGGUAUUACUGUUUUAGUAUAUGGACAGAUGAACACUAGCUAUAACUUAUGAAGAAAAGGAGUAGACCUUUGCAUAGUAUCCUCGUGCAUUUUUUUAUGAGCAUCCAGGAAUCUUCUUUCUUUCUUCUUUUGAAAAAUUUA